UUUUUUGGUGACUUACGAUAACAGCGUGGUCCUCUGUUGCACAGAAAUUGCUGGUGUUGUUGAUGUCCAGGUGCAGUGACGCAUGGCUGCAGUCUCAGCUACUUGGGAGGCUGAAGCAGGAGAAUCUUGAGUUUGAGGCCAGGAAUGAUUUGAAAGUGAAGUGGUUUACGUUGUCUCCUCCCGUCUCAGUGAGACCCCAUCUCCGAAUAACUGAAACAAGGGAGCAGGAUGUAGCUCAGUGGUAGAUCACUGGCUUAACAUGCAUGAGGCCCUGGGUUCCGUGUGCAGUGUGGAAAAUUACUGAUUAUCACCAAGGAAGGGCAGACAAGACCUAGAGAUGUGGCCGGGAGAUCAGGGUGAUAUUUGAACAGAAUUCUGCUUGCGUGGACCUCAGGGCUGCAUAACUGCACCACGACAUGGGCAGCUCUGUGUUGCAGCAGUUUUUCUUUAUCUUUCUGCGCCCGGGAUCAAACCCAUCGUUCUGCAGAAACCCAGCCCUGCAUUAGUGCUGAGCCCCUCCCCUCGCACCCUGCUCCGGAUUUCCGCUUUGGAGAAAGAGUUCUGCUUUGUAGGCGGUCAGGAAAGAAGACUGAAAGAUGCUACUGUUAUGGGCACAUUCGUUUUCAGGUUCUUGUUACCCGCACAGACUUGAGCAGGACACUCAAAAGGCAGGAGCACGAAUGAGUCCCGGAGGUGACAGAAGGAGCUGCCGUGAAGCCCCCACUUUAUGUCCCAGCCGAUGGACAGCUGGACACAUCUGGAGGGGUCCUAGCUCUUCCCACUGGCCUUGACCUGGCACCCGCAUGCUGUCACCAGGCCUGCACAGCCCAGACCUGCCCCAGGCCACGAAGCAGGGACUCUGCACUUGGCUGCCAUGUGCCUGGGUACCUGUGUCCCUUUGGUGCCUCCUAAGGCUUUUCUGUACCAGCGCA
rnacentral:lncRNA from 1 species